rnacentral:tRNA from 1 species
AAACGCAUAGCUCAGCGGAAGAGCUCUUGCCUUACACGUAAGAAGUCGGAGGUUCAAAUCCUUCUGCGUCCACAA